UGGAGAGUUUGAUCCUGGCUCAGAGUGAACGCUGGCGGCAGGCCUAACACAUGCAAGUCGAACGGCAGCACAGUGGUAGCAAUACCAUGGGUGGCGAGUGGCGGACGGGUGAGGAAUACAUCGGAAUCUACCUUUUCGUGGGGGAUAACGUAGGGAAACUUACGCUAAUACCGCAUACGACCUUAGGGUGAAAGCGGAGGACCUUCGGGCUUCGCGCGGAUAGAUGAGCCGAUGUCGGAUUAGCUAGUUGGCGGGGUAAAGGCCCACCAAGGCGACGAUCCGUAGCUGGUCUGAGAGGAUGAUCAGCCACACUGGAACUGAGACACGGUCCAGACUCCUACGGGAGGCAGCAGUGGGGAAUAUUGGACAAUGGGCGCAAGCCUGAUCCAGCCAUGCCGCGUGGGUGAAGAAGGCCUUCGGGUUGUAAAGCCCUUUUGUUGGGAAAGAAAAGCAGUCGGUUAAUACCCGAUUGUUCUGACGGUACCCAAAGAAUAAGCACCGGCUAACUUCGUGCCAGCAGCCGCGGUA
rnacentral:rRNA from 1 species